rnacentral:rRNA from 1 species
UGGCUCAGGAUGAACGCUGACAGAAUGCUUAACACAUGCAAGUCUACUUGAUCCUUCGGGUGAUGGUGGCGGACGGGUGAGUAACGCGUAAAGAACUUGCCCUGCAGUCUGGGACAACAUUUGGAAACGAAUGCUAAUACCGGAUAUUAUGUGAGUUUCGCAUGAAAUUCAUAUGAAAGCUAUAUGCGCUGCAGGAGAGCUUUGCGUCCUAUUAGCUAGUUGGUGAGGUAACGGCUCACCAAGGCGAUGAUAGGUAGCCGGCCUGAGAGGGUGAACGGCCACAAGGGGACUGAGACACGGCCCUUACUCCUACGGGAGGCAGCAGUGGGGAAUAUUGGACAAUGGACCAAAAGUCUGAUCCAGCAAUUCUGUGUGCACGAUGAAGUUUUUCGGAAUGUAAAGUGCUUUCAGUUGGGACGAAGUAAGUGACGGUACCAACAGAAGAAGCGACGGCUAAAUACGUGCCAGCAGCCGCGGUAAUACGUAUGUCGCAAGCGUUAUCCGGAUUUAUUGGGCGUAAAGCGCGUCUAGGCGGUUUGGUAAGUCUGAUGUGAAAAUGCGGGGCCCAACUCCGUAUUGCGUUGGAAACUGCCAAACUAGAGUACUGGAGAGGUGGGCGGAACUACAAGUGUAGAGGUGAAAUUCGUAGAUAUUUGUAGGAAUGCCGAUGGGGAAGCCAGCCCACUGGACAGAUACUGACGCUAAAGCGCGAAAGCGUGGGUAGCAAACAGGAUUAGAUACCCUGGUAGUCCACGCCGUAAACGAUGGAUACUAGGUGUGGGGGGACUGACCCCCUCCGUGCCGCAGUUAACACAAUAAGUAUCCCACCUGGGGAGUACGAUCGCAAGGUUGAAACUCAAAGGAAUUGACGGGGGCCCGCACAAGCGGUGGAGUAUGUGGUUUAAUUCGAAGCAACGCGAAGAACCUUACCAGGGCUUGACAUCCGACUAACGAAGCAGAGAUGCAUUAGGUGCCCUUCGGGGAAAGUCGAGACAGGUGGUGCAUGGUUGUCGUCAGCUCGUGUCGUGAGAUGUUGGGUUAAGUCCCGCAACGAGCGCAACCCUUAUUGUUAGUUGCUACGCAAGAGCACUCUAGCGAGACUGCCGUUGACAAAACGGAGGAAGGUGGGGACGACGUCAAAUCAUCAUGCCCCUUAUGUCCUGGGCCACACACGUACUACAAUGGUGGUAAACAGAGGGGAGCAAUGCCGCGAGGUGGAGCAAAUCCCUAAAAGCAUCCCAGUUCGGAUUGCAGGGCUGAACC